UACGUAGGGUCCGAGCGUUGUCCGGAAUUAUUGGGCGUAAAGCGCGUGUAGGCGGUUCGAUAAGUCUGCUGUGAAAGUCCAGGGCUCAACCCUGGAAAGCCGGUGGAUACUGUCGGACUAGAGUGCGGAAGAGGCGAGUGGAAUUCCCGGUGUAGCGGUGAAAUGCGCAGAUAUCGGGAGGAACACCAAUUGCGAAGGCAGCUCGCUGGGACGUUACUGACGCUGAGACGCGAAAGCGUGGGUAGCAAACAGG
rnacentral:rRNA from 1 species